CUGGGCUAUGGAGACAUGUAUCCACAGACAUGGUUGGGGAUGAUGGUGGGGGCGUUGUGCGCGCUGGCUGGUGUGCUGACCAUCGCCAUGCCCGUCCCGGUCAUCGUCAAUAAC
rfam:Takifugu rubripes chromosome, Chr_3